GACGAACGCUGGCGGCGCGCUUAACACAUGCAAGUCGAGCGACGAAAGGUCCUUCGGGGCCCUGAAAGCGGCGAACGGGUGAGUAACACGUGGGUAACCCACCCUCGGUACCGGGAUAGCCCGGGGAAACCCGGAUUAAUACCGGAUGGCCUCUCCGAUCUGCGGAUCGGCGAGAAAAGGUAGCUUCGGCCUCCGACCGAGGACGGGCCCGCGGCCGAUUAGCUUGUUGGCGGGGUAACAGCCCACCAAGGCGACGAUCGGUAGCUGGUCUGAGAGGACGAUCAGCCACACUGGGACUGAGACACGGCCCAGACUCCUACGGGUGGCAG
rnacentral:rRNA from 1 species